GGAAAACCUUUCCCUUUCCCUUUCGGCUCGAACUCGACUGUCCGGCGGCCGGGUUCGUGUUGAUACGUUACUGGCGUUAUGCGUGCUACGUGUAUAUCAGGAUGGUAGGCUAUGUGGGUGUGAGACGGGGGCGGUGGCUGUGCUAGUGAAACGGAGGAGGCGGCGGCAGAGUCACUGGAGGCGGCGGCUAGUCGGCUGACGGCAGGAGGAGAACGGGAGGAGGGCUGGUGGCCUUGAACUUGACUGCCGCAGUUUUUGCACACAGCCGCCGCACGCCCAAAACAGCCCACCGGCGUAGACACCGAACUUUUCGUCAGCGGGAGCGCCGCGCUACUCGGAUUCGGACAAUUCUCAAGGUAAUUAGUGAUUCAUCGCCUACGAUCGAAACAUCUCCUAAUCAACAAUCUCAAGAAAACAUGUCAUCGAUAACUUCGUGUUGAAACAAAAUUCCUUCGUUUACGAACUACACUCGUUCUUUUGCAUAACGAUACAAAGCUUCGUCCAGUUGUCGCACACAAAUUGUUCGAAUGUUCAAAAUAUGUUGAUGAACAAGAUAAUUUUCUAUCGAAAUCCGACCUCUGGAAAUUUGUCGAUGAAAACUGGAAAUUCUAUGAACGUCCGCAAGCUCUUUGUCGUUGCUAAUUCCGUACUACGUAGCAAAUAGUUGAAAACAACGGACAAGAACAACAGAAUCGUCAAAAAAAAUUGAAGAGAUUUCGAAAUGGACCCAACAAGAAACGGACGACGGUCAGGUUAAAUCGAUCACUCUGUAAACCGGCAGAUUUGUUGCGACAAUCAAAUUUCUUCGCACUGUAACGAAGGGAAAUCCACUGAUACAGACGACACACACAGAGAGUUAUUUAAUCGAAAGUUAUUACCGAACUAUAGCUACGACGUUAAGUGGAAAAUCAAACAGUCUAUUUGAUUAGUCUAAUCGAAUGUCUGCAGCUCCUGUCAACAUUGGAUGCUAGAAGAAAUACGGAAAAUUUGCACGGAUCGUGUAUUAACGCCAAAACUAUGAGAAACUCUGAUGAAAGAAUUGUAAAGGGCCAGAACGAUUCUCAAAGGGAACGAAAAGCAACAGGCUCUCCUGAUAAUGAAAUUACGUAAAGUUGAAAAGCGAGCGUGAAAUCGAGCGAAACAUGUCUCCCACAAAUUCAGUAUACGAACGUAUACUGUACGCUACAGUAUACACCAUCGCGAUCGUACCUAUUGUUCAACGAAUGUUUUCGAAUGGAUUAUCCAUUGCAAGAAUCAUUACGCAACUCUGUAUUGCGUAUUUUCGACAUUUCCUGAUACAUUCGAUACGGAAAACGAGCAAGCCGAUCGGAGAAGAUAUUUGCAUAAGAUAACAAGCUGGUUUAUCAAUUUCUUAAAAUAAUUUGUUCCAUUGCUACGAAGCGAGUCUUCUGAAAGUAUUACGUCGUAUAAAAAAAGAAACGAUAAUAAGGAGCUUAUGACACUGAAAUGACCGGUGAAAUUACGACUACAGUCGAUGCAGAUAGAUUAAAAACUAAAUGGAUCGAUAUGCCUGUCUGUGUGUCAUGUGCAAGGUGCGCGAAAGUUUGUCAUGUUUCGCUAAAGAAACUUCCAUACACCGUGGAUAGUCUCAGCUAAUAUCAAAAUAAAACAUACGUACUAAAAUGUAAUUAUUGGAGAUUUAUUUAAGUAAAUGGUACGUUUAUAAGCAACGUAAAACUAUUAUAGAUGUCAAUUUUUAUAUUUAUAUCGUUAUUAAAUUUAUCAGAUGAAUAUCGCGAUUGAAUUUCGAUUAACUCGUAAUAAAAUUCGGAUUAGGUUGAUAUUUCCAUAAAAUUUUGUAAUUUUGUUAUAAGCUACUUGAUAGUAUAAAUAAUAUAUUGAUAGUAUAAUUGAUUAUGCUUGAUCGAAUGUAAUUCUCCAAAAUGAAAAGUUAGAUUGUCGGUAAUAGGGAAAUUCGUAGUUUCAUCGGUCGGUAUAGUCGCAAGUAAUUGAAACAACAUUAAAUUCGUUUAAAAUAUGAUCUUAAAUAACCGAAGUGAAAAUACCGAAGUUCACAACUUCGUGAAAAUUAUUAAUAUUGCUGACUUCCAAGUUGGUGCAAUUAAGUGGAAAAUAAUGACGACAACAUAAAAAUAUGUGUCACACUUAUGCUAUUACAAAAAGCGUUGGAAUCGAGAAGACAGGAAGUAUUUUUUUCGUAAAAUAGUAUCUCGAUGAUCCAAAUAUACGUUAUGAUCCAAAACCACACGUUUUGGAUCGAAGUAGUUCAUUUUACUGAUAACUAUCGUUAUAUCGGUCGGAUAAUGAGGGGACACUGAAUAAGAAUAAAGCCUCGAAUUUUCGUCUAUCGUCACAUUCGAUUUCAUAACUCACGUUUUUUUGGUCGAAAAAAAUCAAGGCCAUAGCAGCCUUGUUGUGAAACCCGCGCACCCAAUUUCGAAAUCAGGAAACAAAAGGAUACUACUCGGAACUUGACUAAUUCGUUGCAUAGGCACGAAGACAAGAUUCAAGGAAAUAUUUGUAUAUGAACCACGAAAUACAAAACAGUAACAAAAACUGUAAUAUACACAGCGACAUGUAAACGAAUUCGUAACAAAAAUGGCGGAACAAAAUUUGGCAGAUCCUCGAUGCCUGUGUACUUAUCCUCUCCAGUGAAACACGGCAUAGAAUGGAUAAGCAAAUAUAAAAGACUGAAUGUAACACUCACUUUGAAAUCUGUAAUUGUUCACGUAUCUCCAUCGACGUUUGUAUAUUUUGGAACACAAGAAAAAUAUUGUAGCAAUGGCCGACUUCACAAGUCACUAGAAGCAGAAAACUCGAUGGUUCUGAUUGUCGUGCGUGUGGCGCCAUCACACGUUUACGAAAUAAGACAAAAAUCAUAUUCCACCAAUAUAUCCGGUGCUAACCUCUAACGGAAAAACGACGUAAUUCCAUCCCCCCCUAACAUAGCGAUCGAAAUCACUUGGAGCAAUGUUCGAAGAAUCAAAUAAAUAAACAACAUCCCAGUUAUGAAAAUCAUUAACUAUGAACACUAUAAUUAUUUCCUUUAUUAUCUGCACUGAAAAUCUAAGUAAAACUUUACAAAAAUAUACUUUUUGUACUUUAUUAUGCGAAAGAUAGAUUCUGUAUUCUAAGAAAACGUUUCAAUAAAUUCUCAGACUUUUGCAA